rnacentral:rRNA from 1 species
UACGUAGGGUGCGAGCGUUAAUCGGAAUUACUGGGCGUAAAGCGUGCGCAGGCGGUCUGCUAAGAGAGAUGUGAAAUCCCCGGGCUUAACCUGGGAACUGCGUUUCUAACUGGCAGGCUAGAGUGUGGCAGAGGGGGGUGGAAUUCCACGUGUAGCAGUGAAAUGCGUAGAGAUGUGGAGGAACACCGAUGGCGAAGGCAGCCCCCUGGGCUAACACUGACGCUCAUGCACGAAAGCGUGGGGAGCAAACAGG